CCCUCCCCCGGCCAAGCCCUCGCAGGCGCAUUUCCCACCGCCCCAGCCGUCCUUGCCCACUCCCGCCGCUGCCCAGCCGGAGGCCGCGCAGGGUGCCUCCAAGGAGGGCGGUGGCACGGAGCAGCCAGACCCCUCCACCAUGACCCCCCAGGAACAGCAGCAAUACUGGUACCAGCAGCACCUGCUUAGCCUGCAGCAAAGGGCAAAAGCCCAUGCUCAGGGACAGCAGCAGAUGAAAAGUCCAGUAUUGAAGGAUGCAUCUGAGCAGAGAGCAAAGUCUGAAGAAGGGAAAAUGGGUGCUUCAAAUCAGCAGUCUGAACCUCCUCCACUUAAUGAAUCCUUGCCUCCAGCUUCCAAAGAAGAUGAGUCUUCUCUUACAUCCACUGAAACUCAGGUAGACUUUGUAAAGUGAUGCCACUCCAUUUUGUAAUCACAGAUGGGUCAAAAACCCAAGAAAAUAAUGCCAUCACAUUCU
rnacentral:lncRNA from 1 species